AAGCUUAAGGUGAAAGACGAAAAGACCAUUCUCUUCGGUGAGAAGCCAGUCACUGUUUUUGGCAUCAGGAACCCAGAAGACAUCCCAUGGGGUGAAGCUGGUGCAGAAUUUGUUGUGGAGUCAACCGGAGUCUUCACCGACAAGGACAAAGCUGCUGCUCACCUAAAGGGUGGUGCUAAGUU